CCCGAUUCCAAACGUGAGUACCGCAGGCUAUUUCCGUUACAAUAUAAACGUAAAUGUCUUGGUAACCUGAAAUUUGAUAUAAACGGAUAGCAGGUUUCGUAUUAGUAACUGUGUUAAAACUUGUUAUUUGUAUUUAAAUGUUAUAGAAUAAUGGUUAUGUGUUAGUCUCCUGAAUAUAAAAAGUAUGAUGGUCCUGAAAAUGUUGGUUUUUCCGGUUCCCAACACCCGCCCACACGUAUAUUGUUCUUUAUAAACCGUAUGUUAUACUUAAAAAUGAUUUAGUGUUUGCUUGCAGUUGUCAUUUUCUUGAUGGGAAUAAUUCAAAAGGCCCGAUACAGGUCUUGGCCUUAUUAUAGUACCUUGUCGCAAAAUAGUUAAAAUAUCGGAGUCCCGAAAAAUGAGCAGAAGGAAAAUGUCUGCCGUAUCAGAAACACCAAGCGACCAUUUGAGCAUCAAGCCUGAAACUGAACCACAACCUUCGACUUCGACUGAAGGUAUUCUUGAAACCUUUAUGUCUACAGCACGGAUUUAUGCUGAACUUGAUUUUCACCAACAAUUACAAGUGUUAAUGGGACUUCACAAUUUAUCUGAACAUUUUUCAAUUGAAAGUUAAAAGAAAUGGCAUCUUAGUAUUUAUGUAUUUUUCUACGUAUGCAAUAUUUUAAUGUUUAUUUGCCAUAAUUCAAAGAUAUAAGUAGUUUGUUAUUAUGACUGGAAAGUUGAAAAACUUAGUAAGCAAGAUCAGUUACUCAUAACUCUCAUGAAACUUUAGCUGUUAGUUUUAAUAUUUCGCAGUCAAAAAUAUACAGAAUUACAGUAAUA